rnacentral:rRNA from 1 species
GAGUAGCGAAAGAUAGGUGAGAAUCCUAUCCACCGAAUGAGUAAGGUUUCCCCCGGAAGGCUCGUCCGCGGGGGGUUAGUCGGGACCUAAGGCGAGGCUGAAAAGCGUAGUCGAUGGACAACAGGUUGAUAUUCCUGUACCGAUAUUUAAUUGCCGAAGGAAGGACGCAGAAGGAUAACACAGGCCACUAUUGGAUGUGGUUUUAAACAGUUAGUCUUCAUAAGAGUCAAAUGCUUUUAUGUUUAAGGAUAAGCUGUGAAUGUACCAAGUUUACUUGGAAAUUGUGUGAUUUCACGCUGCUGAAAAAAGUUUCGUAGGAAGAAAAUAUUGCCCGUACCGCAAACCGACACAGGUACUCAAGUGGAGAACACUAAGGUGAGCGAGUGAACUAUUGUUAAGGAACUCUGCAAAAUGAGUCCGUAACUUCGGAAGAAGGACUGCUGGUUUUAUACCAGCCGCAGCAAAUAGGCCCAAACAACUGUUUAUCAAAAACACAGGUUUCUGCAAAAUCGUAAGAUGAAGUAUAGGGGCUGACGCCUGCCCAGUGCUGGAAGGUUAAAAGGAGGACUUAGCUUCGGCGAAGGUCUUAAUUGAAGCCCCAGUGAACGGCGGCCGUAACUAUAACGGUCCUAAGGUAGCGAAAUUCCUUGUCGGGUAAGUUCCGACCCGCAUGAAAGGCGUAAUGAUUUGGGCGCUGUCUCAACAAUAGACUCGGUGAAAUUUAAAUUCCAGUGAAGAUGCUGGGUACCCGCGACAGGACGGAAAGACCCCGUGGAGCUUUACUGUAGCUUGAUAUUGAAUGUUUGUGCUGCAUGUGCAGGAUAGGUAGGAGACUUUGAAGUCGGAACGCUAGUUUCGAUUGAGUCACCCUUGAGAUACUACCUCUGUUGUAUGAACGUUCUAACUCUGAUCAGUUAUCCUGAUCGAAGAC